CCUGCUUCCGAUACGGGCAGACUAGAGGAAUGCAGGGGAGAAUGGAAUUCCUGGUGGAGCGGUGGAAUGCGCAGAUAUCAGGAGGAACACCGGUGGCGAAGGCGGUUCUCUGGGCAUUUCCUGACGCUGAGAAGCGAAAGCGUGGGGAGCAAACAGGCUUAGAUACCCUGGUAGUCCACGCCGUAAACGGUGGGCACUAGGUGUGGGGAACAUUCCACGUUCUCCGUGCCGCAGCUAACGCAUUAAGUGCCCCGCCUGGGGAGUACGGCCGCAAGGCUAAAACUCAAAGGAAUUGACGGGGGUCCGCACAAGCGGCGGAGCAUGCGGAUUAAUUCGAUGCAACGCGAAGAACCUUACCUGGGUUUGACAUAUACCGGAAAGCUGCAGAGAUGCAGCACCCGCAAGGUCGGUAUACAGGUGGUGCAUGGCUGUCGUCAGCUCGUGUCGUGAGAUGUUGGGUUAAGUCCCGCAACGAGCGCAACCCUCGUCCUAUGUUGCCAGCGGAUAAUGCCGGGGACUCAUAGGAGACUGCCGGGGUCAACUCGGAGGAAGGUGGGGAUGAUGUCAAGUCAUCAUGGCCUUUAUGUUCAGGGCUACACACGUGCUACAAUGGUUGGAACAAAACGUCGCAAUCUCGUAAGAGGGAGCUAAUCGCUAAAUCCAAUCUCAGUUCGGAUUGAAGUCUGCAAC
rnacentral:rRNA from 1 species